CACCCACACACAUACACACAUACCCGCGCACACCCCUACCUAAACCCAGGUUGCCUGGGGUGUUUAGCACAAACAGCAGAACUAGCAGCUGACCCGACUUGCACUGAAGAAGUCAGUUUGGCUUCUUUCCACAUACAGGUGGAAGGGAAGAAAGGGUAUUGUUGUCCCCUUUCCCCUCAGUCUGACAUACCCAUGCUACAGCAGAUAUAGUUUAGCCUAAAUUAUUGCUUAUCUCUAAUAUCAGGGCACUGUUGAAACACUUCUCUGUAUUAAUAAACUGGUGGUAAUAAGGACCAUUGGUGAAUAAAAUUAGAAAACUAUAUGACUUGUAUAACAUUUUCUUUAUGAUGUUAAAUAUACAGUUUCUGAAUCAUUAUUACCAAGGGUACACUACUUCAUGGUGCACAAUGCAUUAGCUGUCUCUAACUGAUAAAUGAACAUGUUUGGUUAUCUGUGGCUGACCCUAUAAAAUCUCUGCAAUUUAUCCAUGCUUCUUCCACCAGCAGGUGUCAUUCUGGAAAAAGGAAAAUACUGCAGAUCUCAGAACCAGGGAAUUUGGUUGUGACAAAGCAGAAUAAAAUGUUUGCUCAAAAUAUUGCUAUAGAAGGAUACCUUACUUGAAAUAAAAAACAAACUGAAACAAAAAUUUUUUGCUCUGUAUGAAAUAAUACAGCAUCUCAGACUAGAAUAAUUUCUAAGAAUCACUGAACAUACUAUAGAAUAUUUUCACAGAGCUGAGAUCAAAGAGGAAAGUUGUCUCAACUUUCCUUUCAUUGUGUGAUCUUGUCACCACUAACAUGAAGAGCUAUUCUAUUUGAAAUGAUAAAAAUGGUGACCUUUGUCAAUCUUUUUGGAAGAUUCUGUGCUUUAAUGCCCAUGAAUUCCAUUUGACCUCAGUUACAGCCAGGUAAAUCUGAAGUUGCAUCACUGAAGCAACUGAAAGUGGCUGGGUUACUGGCUUAUUCUCUUAUAACCAAGAGCAGGUUUUGUCCUACUGUUCUCAGAAAUGCAACCAGUGGCAGAAAAAGGAGAAAUUCAAAAUGUCUGUUAUAGCAUUUAUACUCUCCUCUCAAUAUUUAUGUGAUUAUUAUUUGCAGCUUUUGUAACAUCUAUACGUUGUUUUAGCUUUCUGAUGUUUAUGGCAAGAAAAAUAACAAUCGGAAUACAAGAAACAUAGAUCUGGGAGGGACCUUUUGGGUUAAGUUCUGUCACCUACUUUUGUGGGCAUUCAUACCAUAUAGUCCUGUUCAUAAGGUUUCUUGCCCCACUACGCUUAUUAGAAGAUUGUUUCAAAAUCCCAGUCUUCUGGUGGUUAGACAUUUAUUAGACACAUACAUUUAUUCAUGGCCAGUUUAGACUUUUUUGUUGUUGUGCCAGUAUUGUCCCAUAAGUUAAAUAGCUCCUUUCUCUCCUUGAUGUUUAACUUCCUAAGAUAUUGGUAAAAAGCAAUCAUAUACCGUCUCAGCCUUGAUUUUUCUGGGAUAAACUAGCCAACUUUUUGUCUCCUCUUCUCAGAUGCAUUCUCCUUGUCCUUGAUCCAGGGGUGGAUCUAGAGAGGUUGCAGUGAUGUGAUCUCUCCCCCUCUUUUGGACCAUGCUGCAGGAACAUCAGCCAGUACUUUGUUCAAGUCCCUGAAAUAGAUUUUUCCCCCUUUCAGUUCUGCCUUUGCAUUGAUGUGAUUAUAUGGACCUGGCAAUUGCUACAAUGAUCUAAGGAUGUGACACAUCCAGGAUUCUGUGCUGAGGCACAACACUCUGCACCUGCACUGGAUGGAAUGAAGCCCAGAAUAUUUCUCUGUUAUAGUGACUGAGCUGGCUCUGUGGUCUUAAAGUGCAGUUCCACGUGACUAUAUAGCAAUGACUCCUUGUAUCCAGUUGACUAUACUGUCUCCUUUAGAAUGGACAAAUUCCUUCCUAGCUUAUAUUUCAGCUUUCUUCAUACUGUGAUGUCAACAAAACAGUAGAUGAGGAGAUAAGCCUGGCUGGCAUAAUUUAUUUAAACCUUUAAUAAAGUCCCUCACAAGAAAUAUUUAAGGAAACUAAGUAGUCAUGGAGUAAGCACAGACAUCCUGCCCUGACAGAAAUUCCUAAGAGACAGAAACCAAGCAGUUGAAAUAAUGGCCAGUUAAUAGUGUGGCAAAAAUUUAACUGGAAGGUGCCACAUAGAGGACCUAGGUUUGAAAAAUCUGAGAGAAAGACUGAAAUAAUUUGGAGUAGCAGUAAGUCUUCCAGUUUUUGAGAGGAGUCUUCUACCUGAUUUCUAUCUUACCACAUGAUACUAAGUGAAACUGUAAACUGUGUAUUUGAUCCAGAAGAACCAUGAAGGAGACAUGGAUAUAUUGGAAUAGUAUGAGGUGUUUUGGUAAGAGAAUAAAUCAUCUGACCCCAGCACUCUUUCCUGCCUAGGCAGGGGGUCGGACUCAAUGAUCUGUUGAGGUCCCUUCCUACCCUAGCAUCUAUGAAUUUUAACAACUUGUGCAUCCUGAGAUCAGGAUGUAAGAUCAUAAUUUAACAUGGAAAAUAUUAUCUUAGUAUGAGAAGGAGGCCAACCCCUAGGAGGAGUAACCAGUAUUACCUAUAUCCAGUGACUGAAGGCAGAGAAGAUGUAGUUAUAAAGCAGGGUAUUGUAAAGGCAAUCUUGAAGAUACAUUGCAAGGUACUGAGGUCAGUUUGGAAAUGUAUCUAAACUUCUGUCUUCUUUAUCACACAGAGAAAAUGACAUCAAUGUGAAUGUAAAGAGUGUUCAAUUGGCAAAAAAUUGUGGUUUGGAUAUAUUUUGGGGAAAUAAAAAUUUCCUUCACUUGGAGCUUGCAACAAACUACUUUUAAAUUCAUGUAGAUGAUUUUGAAAGAUGCUGAGUAAGUAUUUCAUUAUUUGAGAAUAACAAGGGAGUUUCCUCCUAGUUUAUCUGAGAAAGGUAUUAACAGUUAGGAGUUGCAACUGUCUUUCCUGAAAUACUUUUAGCUAGGUCAAUAAAAUCCAAUAGCAAGAAGACAAUUUAUUCUUUGUAUGGUGUAAAAAGUAUAAGCUAAUUUAUUUAAAGCAAUUCUUAUGCAAAAACUACAUUAGUCUUGAAGAAACAAAGCGAAUGCUUUUUUUUGUCUAAUAGAAUAAAGGAAUGUGAAAAUAUUUGUUUUGUUGUUUAAUAAUUUAAUGUUUUACUUUGAUAAUUGAAUGCUGAAAUACUCCUAAUAAGAAGUGCUAAUGGGAACAAGCAUUGUAAACUUUCAGAGUUGUUUCUAAAAGAAAAGAAAGCCUAUUGUUUCCCAAAGUAAAUAGCUAUUCAGAAUGGUUAGAGGUGUAUGUGAUUUGGUUGUUUUUGAACUGGGAAUAUUCUACAGCUCCAAAUAGGAAGUCUGGGAUGGUUAUUUUAGUUAAGUGUCUGGAGCAUCUUUAGUUGCCUGGUAAGCAAUCACUAAUAAUUUGGUAAUGCUGUCAAUUGAGUAAUAAAGUUGCUUGAAACCUGGUGACAUUAUGGGGAUGGGUGUCUAUGUACAACAUCAAUUAAGGCUGAUGUUAUGAAGUUAUUAAAAAUAUAUAUUGUUAA